rnacentral:rRNA from 1 species
UACGGAGGAUGCGAGCGUUAUCCGGAAUCAUUGGGUUUAAAGGGUGCGUAGGCUGGUAUUUAAGUCAGUGGUGAAAUUUUCGUGCUUAACAUGAGAGCUGCCAUUGAUACUGGGUACCUAGAGUGUAUUUGGUGUGGGCGGAAUGUGUUGUGUAGCGGUGAAAUGCUUAGAUAUGACACAGAACACCGAUAGCGAAGGCAGCUCACAAAGUUACAACUGACGCUGAUGCACGAAAGCGUGGGGAUCAAACAGG